CCACAGCCUGGAAAAUUCCAUGGGCAGGACUUACGUGGACGUGCCCACAGCCAAUCAGGGAGCCCGGCCUGAUGAGCAAGGCUGCAAACCUCAGAGACGCUGGCCACACUGGACCGGGGCUGGGGACCGCCCUGCACCCCCCACCCACUCUCCUGGGACUGGAGGCCACUGUGGGUGGCCAUCUUGACUGUGGGCAGCACAGCCCACGGAGCCAUGACCACUGAGGUAAAACCCUGCAUGAUUAGAAGGACUCAGACUGUGGGUCUACCCAACAGCCAUUUCUGCUGGAUAUUCCAGACUGACAAGCCACUCCCACAACAGAAGCUGAAAUAUCCCAAUAUCCACUUUCCCAGCCUUCCCUGCAUUUCUGAAUGGCCUAGGGACCCAACUCUGGCCAGUGGAAGCUGAGGGUACAUCCGCGGGGAGUUUGAAGAAGGGAAUUCCUGAUAAAAAGGCACCUACAGGAGUGAACACCCUAUUCAGGUUAGCCUCUAUGUGCUGUCAAGGGAGGACAUGGUGUUUGGAACUGUGGCAGCCAACCAGGGCCAUGAAAGGAAGACCAAGGAAUGGCAGGGACACCUGUCCACAAGCUGCCAAACCAGCCCCUGGCAAAGCCAUCUGUGCCCUCCCUGUUUUGUGACAUGAAGAAUUUGAUAAUUUUGCCAGUGUUUACACAAAAUAAUGAUAAUUAGUGUGCUGUUUGUCAAAUGUUUGCAGCUCUCCACCCCUCGGGCAUACAGUAGGAUUACAGCUCAUUGAACUCUACUGGCUGAGUGGAGACAUGCAACUCGUUCUGGCCAAACGGCUGGGAUAUAUCACUUCCAAGAUGGACUGUUUAACUGCCAGGGAAAAACUUCUAGAGAUCUCUUUCCCUCUGCCACAAGGAAUGAGACCUUUAAGAUGCUGGCUGCUCUAGCAGCAUGCUUCCUUGAAUAAUCAUGAUGAGCACAGCUCUUUUGCCAACCUGAGAUACACAUAUAGAGUGAACAAAAACAGUUAAAAAGGCUGGAGCUCCAGCAGCCCUUCUGGACCAGAAGGCAGCCUUAAGGACAGAUGCCACAUGUUGAGGAUUACAGAGCAAAGUUGGAAGGAAGCUGAGUCAUUGAUAACAUAUGAACCUAUACUGCUGACUUCUGGGCUUUGUAAAAAGAGAGAAAUGAGCUGUUAUCUUGUUUAGGUCGCUGGUAUUCCUGUUUCUAUUACAUACAACCAAAUGCAACUCCUAACUGACGCAAAGCUUUCUGGAAAACCUCUUGUUUUUACUGAUAAAAAGGACAGAUAUGAUUGGUACCCUGCUGGCCCCUUUUUCCUGCCUUAAAAGGCAGAUGCAAUGGCUGCAGCUGAAGUGGUCAUUUAAACACCACUAGAGCAAGCACAGUAGGCUCUCAGCAAUCCAAGCCUUGAUGUCACUAACCAAGGACAGCAGCCUCAUACCUUUUGGAGUCUUAUGAGGUAAAAGAAACAAACUUGUUUGCUCACUGUGUUGUCAGCUCAGUUUUGUGUUCCUUGGAGCUGAAUGUAUCCUGAAUUUAUAUGUGUCCUUCCCAUUGAU